UUUGUAACUUUACCUAUCUAGAUUUGAAGGUAUGAGAAAUUGGAAGAAUGGUAUUUAGAAAUCCAAUAUUAUUGCCCUAACAAAAUCGUUAUGAUUCAGCACCCAUAUUGAAAUCGUUCUUAUCCCGAUAACAGAGAAUCGAUGAAGUAGGAGUCUACACAGAAGAAGACAUAGAGAGAUGUGGAAAAAUACGUAAAAUUUUUGAAAUAAAUUAUUGGCUGUUUUGGAGAGUUUUCAGCAAUCAAAACUUCAAAUUUUGAAAUUUGAAAAUGCGAUUAUUCAGGAAAAUGAUGGUCCAGAGAUUGGUGUUGCUAGAUUGUUUACAUCUGGGAAGAAGAGUUAUGCAGAAAUUGUUGUUGCUACACUGUUUUUCAGACGGAUGUUGUUGAUCCUACAAGUUGACACAAGGGCAAUCUUGAGACAGAGGCUUUAUUGGAGUCAAAGGGUGUUAAUUAACCAUUGAACUACAACCUUGUGGAAGAGUGCUUUUUCCAUAGGUUGGUAGAAGGCAUACACAUCCAAAUUGGUGACUCUGGUUUGCAAAUAACACAACUUGGUCAUGUUAAGGAUGUUGUUCGAAACGAUCGUAUUGAAGUUAACAAAAUCAAAGCCGUGUACAGAUCCAGAAAAGUUUUCACACUCUUUCACAGUUGUAUCGUGGUAAAAGUUAAGUUUUCUUUCUGGAUCAACAAACUUAAAAUUUAAAGUAUUUGGUGCGACAUUAGGUUUCUUCACAUAUAUUGAACUAUCUUGUUUAAGAUAGCGUUUGAAUUUUGGAAACCAUUUUUUCACAUAAGAUGCAUGAAUUUUCCUUCCCUAAAAAAUAAACAAAUAACAAAUAAUUAUAUAUAAUUGUUUAUAAAUAUAUACAAAUUUAAAAAAAAAAAUAAUAAUUGAAUAUAUAAAUCAUAUACCUCCUCAUCCAUCAAAAUCAUUUCGAUCGAGUAUGUGUCGUUUGCAUUAAAUUUUGACUUUUGAGUCCAAAGAUGUAUGAUUCGAACUUUAAUUGUGAAAUCAUCCUUGAUUGAGUCAAUUUCCUUUAUAGGAGUAAUAUGUUCCAUUGUACCUUGCAAUUAAAAAAAAAUGUUUUGUUAACAAAAAUGUUUUGUUAACAAAAAUGUUCAAAUAUAAAAAGAAAAAUCGAAAAGCAUUGAUUGAUUGAUUUAUUUAUUUGUCUUAAUUGUUAACUCCCAUGUAUCAAAUACUUUUCAACUUUGGGGCAAUAUGGUCUUUUUGGAGUAAACGAAGUGGAAAGGAUAACAUGACAGUUAUAAAAUAUAAAAAACUAUAUAAUAGACCAUAGUAGAAGGUUUAUUAUUCAGAAUACAUAAAAAAAUACAAAUAGCAAUGUACAUUCAGUUUUUUGUAUUCAAAUUAAGGCAUUAUGGUCUUUUCUACCGUAAAUGAAGUUGAUAAUAAGGUCACAUUAUCGUUAAAAAUUUUGAAUAACAGUUGUGAGUUUUAGAAAAUAUAGCAGAUUUUAUUAUUCAGAAUACAUAAAUAGCAGAUUUUUUAUUAAACAUGUUGAUUGAUUGAUUUAUUUAUUUGUCUUAAUUGUUAACUGCCAUGUAUCAAAUACUUUUCAACUUAUGGGCAAUAUGGUCUUUUUGGAGUAAACGAAGUGGAACAGGGUAACAUGACAAUUAUAAAAUAUAAAAAAACUAUAUAAUAGACGAUAGUAGAAGGUUUAUUAUUCAGAAUACAUAAAAAACUAAAAAAAAUACAAAUAGCAAUGUACAUUCAGUUUUUUGUUUUCAAAUUAAGGGCAUUAUGGUCUUUUCUACAGUAAAUGAAGUUGAUAAUGAGGUCACAUUAUCGUUAAAAAUCUGAAUAACAGUUGUGAGUUUUAGAAAAUAUAGCAGAUUUUAUUAUUCAGAAUACAUAAAUAGCAGAUUUUUUAUUAUACAGAUUGAUUGAUUGAUUGAUUGAUUGAUUUGUCUUAAUUGUUAACUGCCAUAUAUCAAAUACUUUUCAACUUAGGGGCAAUAUGGUCUUUUUGAAGUAAACGAAGUGGAAAAGGGUAACAUGACAGUUAUAAAAAAAUAAAAAACUAUAUCAUAGACUAUAGUAGAAGUUUUAUUAUUCAGAAUACAUAAAAAACAAAAAAAAAAGUAGAAAUAGCAAUAUACAUUCAGUUUUUUGUUUUCAAAUUAAGGGCAUUAUGGUCUUUUCUAUAGUAAAUGAAGUUGAUAAUGAGGUCCCAUUAUCGUUUAAAAAUCUGUGUAACAGUUGUGAGUUUUAGAAAAUAUAGCAGAUUUUAUUAUUCAUAAUACAUAAAUAGCAGAUUUUUUAUUAUACAGAUCGAUUGAUUGAUUUGUCUUAAUUGUUAACUGUCAUAUAUCUAAUACUUUUCAACUUAGGGGCAAUACGGUCUUUUUGAAGUAAACGAAGUGGAAAAGGGUAACAUGACAGUUUUAAAAAAUAAAAAACUAUAUCAUAGACUAUAGUAUAAGUUUUAUUAUUCAGAAUACAUAAAAAAACAAAAAAAAAAGUAGAAAUAGCAAUAUACAUUCAGUUUUUUGUUUUCAAAUUAAGGGCAUUAUGGUCUUUUCUAUAGUAAAUGAAGUUGAUAAUGAGGUCACAUUAUCAUUUAAAAAUCUGUAUAACAGUUGUAUUUGAUACUAUAAUUAUAGAGAAACAGCAAUGCAGGGGAAAUAGUAAAAUAGUAAAAUACAUAUAGAAGCAGAAAUUAUAUACCAUAGAAAGAGAGAAUGAAUAUACGUAACAAAACUAAACCUGGUUGAUUAUGCAGUCCACAAGAAGAAGGCGAUUGGUAUACCCUGAAUAUAGGAAAAACAGAUUGCGAACACAAUUUUUUUUUAAAAAUCGAUGAGUAUAAGAUCGAUAUAUGAAGAACAAAAAGAAAACAAUGUAGUAUCCCUUACCAGACGAUGAAUAUUCGAAUUAUUCGUAUUGAAAGAGGAACGUAAAGAGGAACGUAGCUGUUUGUGUAUAUACAUAUAUUUAAAUUUAAAUUAGGAAGACUUUGCCUGAUUUUUUGGGAUUAUUAUUCGAUUGACUGUUUAUUUGGGAUAGAGAUAAAGUUUAGCACAUAUUUUCUUCCUAAUUUGUUGCAGAUUUAUAUGGUAUAAUUGAUAAUUAAAAUUUUAAAUAUCAAAGUUGUUGUUUUUGCCGGAUAUGCAGUAUUCUUGGAACGGAAGGGCAAAGUGGGAAAUUCAGUUAAGACUAUUGAGCGGGAAAAUGAAAGGAGUUGGACGCAUGGGAGUGACACGUGGCGGUAUUGGUACUGUUUUAUUAGGAGUGUAUAUAUAUAUAUAUAUAUAUAUAUAUAUAUAUAUAUAUAUAUAUAUAUAUAUAUAUAUAUAUAUAUAUAUAAAUGAAAGUAAGGGGUAUAAUAGUGUUUUUAAGUUGAUAAGGACCAAAAUCACUAAAAAUAUUUAAAAUUGAACCACUGAUACAUCAUAAAUUUUUUUUUAUCAAAACUGCAAAAUUUUAAUAACCACUUGAAAUACUUUUGCAAUUUUUUCAAUAUUUUAUUAAUCCUUAUUCUAAUAAAUGAAUAGUUUUAAUCUCAUUGUGACAAGUGUCACUCUAAUACAAGUCCUUAUUAAUAUUAUGUCAUGUGUCAUGUAAAUAUAUUAGGCAACCAUUUCAAAAUUCAAAUUUAUAUUUUUUAAUUAUAUGUUAAAUUUGAAGUUAUAAUAACUUUAAAAAUUUGAUAUAUCUCUUAAUUAAUAAUUUAUUUAAAAUCAUUUAUUUAAAACAACUGAUUAAUAAUUAUAUAUUUUUAUUAUGAAAGUUUAAUUAAUUUUAUAACCGUGGUUUCCACGGGUUAUAAACUAUUAUAAAAUAAAAUUGAUAGUGUAGAGAUACACGCGGAUAGCAUUUAUCGUGGAGGCCCGUCUCUCCCCACUUUGUACACGAUUUAUUGAAGCGAAGAGACUUUUUUUUCAACUAUUUUAUCAGCUUCAUACAAUGCUUUAUUGCUUUAUACAACGUAUAAGAAAACAAACUCUUAUUUAUGCCUCGUUGUACAUAUGUACAAUACAUAUAAUAUUAAUUUUUAAUCACUAGCAUGCCAUUUCUUCAAAAGCUUUAGGGUUCAAAUGUUGUUUGAGACACGUAUAUAAAACUUAGGAGUGGAAUAGAAUUAGUGUCAGUUGUCAUCCUAAAAAUAUCAUUGACUCCGUUUGCAAAUGUUAUCAAUGUAUAAUUUUGUAAGACAUACAAAAGUGUCGCCUGUAUUGUAUUGAGCCCAAUACAGUUAGUUAUGAAAAAAAAGGAGGGCUCAGUUUUGUUGGAGCCCACACUGAUUUGGACUUUA